CCUCUCAGCGACUUAAGUUUGUUUUAAGUAGUCGCCACAUUUUAGUCAACAAAAGAAAUUAUGCCUUACAAACAGCAGUUUAUGGCAAGAGUCUUUGGUGGAUUCAUCGGAUAAUCACCACAACGCUUCACAUUUUGGAUGAGAGGAAGUUCGCACGGAUAAAGAAAAGGAUCGGGCGUACAACACGGAUCAGAUUCACGGAACGCACAACAAAGCCACGGCUGUCUCUACCAUUGCAACACAGAGAGAGCACGUCAGGCAACACGCAGCAGCUGAAACGCGUAGGCUUACCAGCUUUGUGUUUGUUCAUGCUGUGUAUUUGUCGAUAUUUGAACACAGUUUGAGCGAUUCAUUGCUGCUUGUCCAUUGGGGACGUUUGCGCGAUUGUGCAGUGUUUGUACGGUGCUUUCUCGUUCUGUUGAUUGAGGUACCCAGAGCUCUGGUCUGUGAUGUGGGAUAAGUUUGUGAAUGCUGAAAUAAUAUUGUGCCGUUGUGGGAAUUUCAACGAAUGCUGUUCAUUUGGUUUAUUGAGCGUUGAGGGUACGCCAGUGGUUUAUGCGUAUUGAAUCGAGUGCCGUCGGUUUUGUGGACGUGCUGUGGGUGCACAAACAAGUGAUUGUGCGUUGUAUUGAGAAAAGGCAACAUGAGUGAAUCAAACACUUGUCUUGACGUCAAUGGCUCUGAAAGGGAAGAGGGCAAAAGAGAAGUUAAACUCACUGCCAAGGCUUUGGCGAAUAAAAUUGAAACUCUUCAAAAGGAACGUAAAACAAAUGUAGACAAGAUUAAAGGUUUAAUACCGGCAAUCAAGGGUCUCAUGAGAAAGAAGGAAAAUGCCCCACAGGUGCAAUCUCAAUUGGAGAAUUUAAUCCAACUUUGUGAAGCUGCCACUAAGUUACACGAUUCAGUGCUUACUUUAAUUCCUGAGGAUGAAGAGGAAAGACAAAAAGAAUGGUUCACAAGCAUUGAAAAAUACAGCAGUGCAUUCAAAGAGGAUGUGAAACCAUGGUUGACUGAAACUGAGAAAUCAUUUUACAUUGGCCAUGUUCAAUCUGAUUCUGUUGCAAUAAAUGAAGGCAUACCCCACAUUCAGUCCGAUGAUGUGCCUCAAGUGCCAACGCGUACUAUGACUCCAGUUAUAACAUAUGACAUACAAGAUGAUGAUGCGAAACCUAGUGACAGUGUGUCAAAAGCAGAAGGUCCGGCACACACAACUCUGCUACAGGAAGAAAAUCUUCUGCAUCAACUACCUCCUCUGCACGCAUUAAGGCAGAAGCUGAUCUGGCUGCUCUGGUGGCUCAUCAAAAAUCAUUAAAGGACAAACAUGCACUGGAAGAGCAAGAGGAACAUCUCCGGAAAAGAAAAGAGAAGCUGGACUUGGAGGAAGAAAUCACUGCGCAUAUGGAUAAAACUUUGUCAACGGUCGUGCACUGCCUCAGAAUCCUCUUCUCUCUGGAUCUCAGCCAUGUCGAAUGAUGCUGCAGGUGUGGCAUCAGCUGCCAUUUCUGGAGUUUCUCUGCUAAACGACAUCGUUCAGGAGUCCAUCAACGCAAGCAGUAGAAGUGUCUCCAUUCAUCUAACCAACAACUGCGAAUCAAAACUCCUCAUAAAUCCACAGGUUUACACCAACAGCGGUUACUGCUGUGACCCCCCACAACCCACAGUGGGACAGGGGGUCACAGAAACAUGCGGUUUUGAAAAUACGAAAGGAGCUGCAUGUGGUGCUGUUGGGGUCCUGACCUAUGACAUCACUGAAGACCGGAAGACGAAGGCAGUCAAGCGUCUGGCCAUCAUGUUCUCUGUACCUUUUGACUAUGCUUCCUUUGAAAACUGGUUUGCUGUGGGUUUGUUUGACACUGCUCAAGCAUGUGAUUCUUAUCUGUAUAAUCUCAUGUAUAAUAAUGAAGGAUCUUUCAAACGGGAGAAGGCAUCUGGUUCAGAAA